GACGUCGAAUAUCGACGUCAUAAACACCAAAGUUGAUCGUGUUUAUGACGUCGAAUAUCGACGUCAUAAACACCGAAGUUGACCGUGUUUAUCACGUCGUAUAUCGACGUCCUAAACACCAAAGUUGAUCGUGUUUAUGACGUCGAAUAUCGACGUCAUAAACACCAAAGUUGACCGUGUUUAUGACGUCGUAUAUCGACGUC
rnacentral:miRNA from 1 species